UUGAAGAGUUUGAUCAUGGCUCAGAUUGAACGCUGGCGGCAGGCCUAACACAUGCAAGUCGAACGGUAACAGGAAUCAGCUUGCUGAUUCGCUGACGAGUGGCGGACGGGUGAGUAAUGUCUGGGAAACUGCCUGAUGGAGGGGGAUAACUACUGGAAACGGUAGCUAAUACCGCAUAACGUCGCAAGACCAAAGAGGGGGACCUUCGGGCCUCUUGCCAUCGGA
rnacentral:rRNA from 1 species